rnacentral:rRNA from 1 species
UACAGAGGGGGCAAGCGUUAUUCGGAAUUAUUGGGUUUAAAGGGUGCGUAGGCGGCCCUGUAAGUCAGUGGUGAAAUAUCUCAGCUUAACUGAGAGGGUGCCAUUGAUACUGCAGGGCUUGAGUACAGAUGAGGUAGGCGGAAUUGACGGUGUAGCGGUGAAAUGCAUAGAUAUCGUCAAGAACACCGAUAGCGAAGGCAGCUUACCAAGCUGUAACUGACGCUGAGGCACGAAAGUGUGGGGAUCAAACAGG